GAUGAAUGCCCGAAGCUGGGUGCCAGAAACCACCUGGGAAACCGGCAGCCACUGGAGAAGAAAAUGACAACGGAGAGAGAAAGCAAGUUACAGAAGGGAUGAGUCUGAAACAGGCAUCAAUAAGACACCUUUGGGACCUGAGGGUCCUAAUGGGUCCUGUGGAUGGAAUGGAUCCGUGGAGAGAGAUAAAACAAGAGGCAUGAAUGACAGCAUCUACUUCACUUGCUGUCAUUUAACAGGAAAACAAGAAACUUGUAAGACUUUCUAAUGGAAGAAAUCAUCCUGUGAGCAGGAUUUAUAAUGUGGAAUAUGGAAACUCUCCACGAGAAUACAAAAAAGUUCAUGUUUCUAUUCAUUGGGUCUUGUACUGAAACUGAACUUCAUUGCUUCAGCCAGGAUGGAUGGCCAACGAGCUUCAGGGAUCUGUCUGUCUCCAACCCCUCAAGCCUGGAAUUAUAGACACAGGGCACCAUAUCUGGCUUUUAUGUGGGCACUGAAUUCAGGGCGCUCAGGCACUAUGCCAGCAGAUCCAUCUCUCUAGUCUCUCUCUCUCUACGUUUUCAAGAAUCCUUUCCCAAGGAUUCAGGAAGGGAGAGAAAAGAUUAGAAUCUAAAAAAUAUAGAAGAAGAAGAAGAAGAAGGAGGAGGAGGAGGAGGAGGA
rnacentral:lncRNA from 1 species